UGACUAUAAGUUUAACGGCCGCGGUAUUUUGACCGUGCAAAGGUAGCGCAAUCACUUGUCUUUUAAAUGAAGACCUGUAUGAAUGGCACGACGAGGGCUUAACUGUCUCCUUUUUUCAGUCAAUGAAAUUGAUCUUCCCGUGCAGAAGCGGGAAUAUAAACAUAAGACGAGAAGACCCUAUGGAGCUUUAAACACAAGACAGCCCAUGUUAAAGGCCCUUCUAUCAAUGGAGGCUAAACUAAUUGGAACCUGUCUUAAUGUUUUUGGUUGGGGCGACCACGGGGAAACACAAAACCCCCAUGUGGACCAGGAAUACUUUUUCCUACAACUAAGAGCUACAACUCUAAUUAACAGAACUUCUGACCAGUUUUGAUCCGGCAAUGCCGAUCAACGGACCGAGUUACCCUAGGGAUAACAGCGCAAUCCCUUCUUAGAGCCCAUAUCGACGAAGGGGUUUACGACCUCGAU
rnacentral:rRNA from 1 species